GAUGAACGCUAGCGGCAGGCCUAAUACAUGCAAGUCGAACGGGUAGCAAUACCAGUGGCGCACGGGUGCGUAACGCGUAUGCAACCUACCUUUCACUGGGGAAUAACUUUGAGAAAUCAAAGCUAAUACCGCAUAAAACAGGGAUCCGGCAUCGGAAUAUUGUUAAAGAUUUAUCGGUGAAAGAUGGGCAUGCGUCUGAUUAGCUAGUUGGUGAGGUAACGGCUCACCAAGGCGACGAUCAGUCGGGGUUCUGAGAGGAAGAUCCCCCACACUGGCACUGAGAUACGGGCCAGACUCCUACGGGAGGCAGCAGUAGGGAAUAUUGGGCAAUGGGCGAAAGCCUGACCCAGCCAUGCCGCGUGCAGGAAGAAGGCCUUCGGGUUGUAAACUGCUUUUGUACGGAACGAAACGGCUCUGGUUAAUACCUGGGGCUAAUGACGGUACCGUAAGAAUAAGCACCGGCUAACUACGUGCCAGCCGCCGCGGUAACAC
rnacentral:rRNA from 1 species